CGGAAACGUUGAAAUUUCCGAGCAGCUUGGUAAACUCUGCGCAAAAUCCUACAGGUCUGUCUCGAAACCGGAUGGUACGAAUGCGAAACGAAUUUCGCGAUUCGAAAUACUUUUUAUCACAAAUUCGACCGUGGAUCUUAUCCGCUUCUCGGCCUUGUCAUGAUUCAGGGCUUAUAAUCAAUUGUGAAACGAGAACACGGCUGGAUUCGAGGCAAGUGCAUUCGACUUUCCAAGUCCGUUUGUGACAAGCCUAUGCACCUGGCAACUUUGGAAACCGUAUUCAUUACUCAUUAUCUACGAUGACGGAUCAGCGAGUCAAGUUACAAAAAAUAAAGGAUUUAACCAAUAUUUUAAAGGACACUGACAGAAACCUGACCAUAUGUGAGGAGAUUCUUUCAGCUUUUAUGGAAAAAAGAUUGCAGCAAAAAACUGAAGCAAUACAACGGCGGACAGACCUGGAAGCGAAAAUGACGGAGAUUUUGGACAACUUGAAAACCCGACUAUUGAUGGUCGAUAACUAGAUAAAAAUUUCUAAAUUCAAGAAAGAAUGUCUGAAUCCGAUGUUACUGAGAACAGUGAUUUUCUGUGCGAAUUGCAUGGAGAAUAAACUUGAUUGUUAAAGAUAUCGGAUCCGUUAUUAAAGUAAAACGAGCCGGGGUGAUCGACACGGCGAAAAUGUACGCCACACAAACUAGGGCUCACCUAUUAUUUCGAUGUAAGAGAUACAAUUGCACGUGUGCCAGAUGAAUUUUUGUGUGAGUUUUUAUUCAAGUUUCAAGAAAUAAAACCGUCAGCAAUGUUUCCUGAACACCAACUCCUUUAAUUAUUCUUAAAAUUAUAGAUCCGCUUGAGAAAUGCGCGUAUUAUGCAUGCUUAGGUAAUCGCGAUAGACUUCAAGGCUAUGCAAGAAUGGUUUGAGAAUUUUAAUCUUGCAAUAAAUGUUUAUAGGGUCUGGUUCUCGUGAGGGUCCUCCGUGUUUUAUACGUACUAUAUAAUGAAAAAAUUGGGCGAAAACUUUUCGAGAGAAUUAUAUUUCUGUCGUGAAAUCGACUUCGUGAUCAGCUUUUCGCGAACAGGUAUAAUAACAUCAAUAAUGGUACCAGCACACAACGAAUGCUUUUACAACUGUGCAAACGUGAUCGACGAGUUAGACUAUGCACGUCAUGAAUUUAGCGCCACCUCUUUGGGUCUGAUGUUUCGCUGAUAUGAAAAGUCAAAAAUGGGCUUAGAAAAGCCAUAUCUAUUCAACGAUGGAUGAUAUGAGAUUCGAAAGGACGUGAUAUGGCAUAACUAAUUAAAAAGGCCUUCCGAGUCCUGGUACAUCAACGCGAUAUGGUUGGCUGUGGAACUAUGGAUACUUUCAACGCGUCUCUUUAUGGAGCAGAUGUACGAUCAUCAUUUUGAGUAGAGGGAAAUUGAAUCCAUUUUGUAAGUUUUCAAUCAAUUUAGUCCACAAAGAUUGUUCGUAGUAUCAUUAGUCUUGAACACGAUAACGAUGAAUUGAUUUUUCAGAAUAAAGAUCAACGGAGAUAGCGAUCAUAGAAAUCAUCGGUCCGCUGAUGAUUUUGAAUUAUUAUUCUGUUCUGAUUUGCCAGAAGGGGGAUGGGCAGGCUACGGAACAUUUCAUCACCGUGUCUGGGGUGUUUCAUCACACGCAUCAUCUCUCAUUAAAAAAAAAUCUUGUCCUUGCAAGAACAAAUAUGACAGUACCUUGAAGGUAAAUGACACGAUUGUAUUUCCGAAGACAUUGUAACUGACGCUGUAUCCAUGCGAACAAACUUUUGUGUAAAUUGAAACGAUAAUAAAAGUUUACCGCCGAUGAUAUGAGCUGAGAGUUCGAGUCGCAUUAAUUACAUCCCAAUCACAUCAUCCCUUAGAAUCCCUCACAUUAAGCGAUCCAUCGCAUCGCGUUGCACGUCAUGACGUAUACAUAAUGCUCUGACAUAGGUGGCUCUCUUUCUUUAAUUUUUUUCACGAUUAAU
rnacentral:misc_RNA from 1 species